GCAUGAUAUUUUUAUUAAAGAAUUUCGGUUAUCGAUGGGGAUGCGUUCCAUUAGUUUGUUGGCGGGGUAACGGCCCACCAAGACAACGAUGGAUAGGGGUUCUGAGAGGAAGGUCCCCCACAUUGGAACUGAGACACGGUCCAAACUCCUACGGGAGGCAGCAGUGAGGAAUAUUGGUCAAUGGGCGAGAGCCUGAACCAGCCAAGUAGCGUGAAGGAUGAAGGCUCUAUGGGUCGUAAACUUCUUUUAUAUGGGAAUAAAGUUUUCCACGUGUGGAAUUUUGUAUGUACCAUAUGAAUAAGGAUCGGCUAACUCCGUGCCAGCAGCCGCGGUAAUACGGAGGAUCCGAGCGUUAUCCGGAUUUAUUGGGUUUAAAGGGAGCGUAGGUGGAUUGUUAAGUCAGUUGUGAAAGUUUGCGGCUCAACCGUAAAAUUGCAGUUGAAACUGGCAGUCUUGAGUACAGUAGAGGUGGGCGGAAUUCGUGGUGUAGCGGUGAAAUGCUUAGAUAUCACGAAGAACUCCGAUUGCGAAGGCAGCUCACUAGACUGUUACUGACACUGAUGCUCGAAAGUGUGGGUAUCAAACAGGAUUAGAUACCCUGGUAGUCCACACAGUAAACGAUGAAUACUCGCUGUUUGCGAUAUACAGUAAGCGGCC
rnacentral:rRNA from 1 species